GAUGAACGCUAGCGGCAGGCCUAAUACAUGCAAGUCGAGGGGUAGAAGAGGCUUGCUUCUUUGAGACCGGCGCACGGGUGCGUAACGCGUAGGCAACCUACCUUCAUCUGGGGGAUAGCCCGGAGAAAUCGGGAUUAAUAUCGCAUAAAAUCACAGGAUGGCAUUAUCCACUGAUCAAACAUUUAUGGGCUGGAGAUGGGCAUGCGUGUCAUUAGCUAGUUGGCGGGGUAACGGCCCACCAAGGCGACGAUGACUAGGGGAUCCGAGAGGAUGGCCCCCCACACUGGUACUGAGACACGGACAAGACUACUACGGGAGGCAGCAGUAAGGAAUAUUGGUCAAUGGAGGCAACUCUGAACCAGCCAUGCCGCGUGCAGGAAGACUGCCCUAUGGGUUGUAAACUGCUUUUAUUCGGGAAUAAACCUUAUUACGUGUAAUAAGCUGAAUGUACCGAGGGAAUAAGGAUCGGCUAACUCCGUGCCAGCCGCCGCGGUAA
rnacentral:rRNA from 1 species